UUUUUUAAUUGAAAACUGGAAUGAAGGGUAGUUACUAAAAAGAAAGUUUUAUUAAAAGUUUUUGAAUUUAAAUUAAAAGUAAAAAUGCUUUUGUUAUUUCUUGGGACGAGAAGACCUUAGAAGCUUUAUAAAGUAUAAAAAUUUUUGGAUUGGGGCAAUUUAUGAAAAAAUUAAUUUUUAUUAAAUUAUAAAUAAAUGAAAAAUAAGUUACUCUAGGGAUAACAGCGUUAUUUAGUUAACAAGUUCUUAUUAAUAAUUAAGUCUGCGACCUCGAUGUUGAAUUAAUAUAAAAUUUUGGUGAAGAAGUUAGAAGAUUUUAGUCUGUUCGACUAUUAAAAUAUUACGUGAUCUGAGUUCAGACCGG
rnacentral:rRNA from 1 species